rnacentral:rRNA from 1 species
GACGAACGCUGGCGGCAUGCCUAACACAUGCAAGUCGAGCGGGCUGAUUCUUCGGAAAAAGCUAGCGGCGGACGGGUGAGUAACACGUGGGCAAUCUGCCUCAUAGAGGGGAAUAGCCUUCCGAAAGGAAGAUUAAUACCGCAUAAGAUUGCAGCUUCGCAUGAAGUAGCGAUUAAAGGAGCAAUCCGCUGUGAGAUGGGCCCGCGGCGCAUUAGCUAGUUGGUGAGGUAACGGCUCACCAAGGCGACGAUGCGUAGCCGACCUGAGAGGGUGAUCGGCCACAUUGGGACUGAGACACGGCCCAGACUCCUACGGAGGCAGCAGUGGGGAAUAUUGCACAAUGGGGGAAACCCGGAUGCAGCAAUGCCGCGUGAGUGAUGACGGCCUUCGGGUUGUAAAGCUCUGUCUUCGGGGACGAUAAUGACGGUACCCGAGGAGGAAGCCACGGCUAACUACGUGCCAGCAGCCGCCGUAA